rnacentral:misc_RNA from 1 species
UAACCAUUCUCAAGCUAAUCUCUUUUCGAAGAGUGCGGCAUGGAACUGAGUCUUCUCGGUAUGAGUGUUUCGGCACUGCAACUGGGAGAUUUGAAACUGAUAUCGCGGGAGCAGUGGUCAUUAAGGAUCAGUUCUUUGUAGGUGUACUAGUUGGAGGCGUCGCAAGACGUUUUCAUUCUUAGCACCAAUACGCAAAGUUCGGAUCUGACGACUGCAACCAACGAACGCAGGAACUUGUGAGUACUCGAUACUCCAACU